rnacentral:ribozyme from 12 species
UGGUGGUGGGAACAUGCAUAGUGCAAUAUUUGGAAAGACUGCCGCAACCACAGCGAAACAAAAUGGGUGGAAGGGCGUGAUAAUUCACGGUGUUAUCCGGGACGCCAAAGUGGUGAAGCAAACCCAAAUUGGGUGCAAAGCCAU